UACGUAGGGGGCAAGCGUUAUCCGGAUUUACUGGGUGUAAAGGGAGCGUAGACGGAAUUGCAAGUCUGAUGUGAAAAUCCGGGGCCCAACCCCGGAACUGCAUUGGAAACUGUAUUUCUAGAGUGUCGGAGAGGCAAGUGGAAUUCCUGGUGUAGCGGUGAAAUGCGUAGAUAUCACGCAGAACUCCGAUUGCGAAGGCAGCGUACCGGCAUCCAACUGACGCUGAGGCACGAAAGCGUGGGGAUCAAACAGG
rnacentral:rRNA from 1 species